rnacentral:rRNA from 1 species
UGAGGAACCCGAAAGAUCGAAUGGGGAGAUUCAGCGUCAGCGGCUCUGGCUCGGCCGAGUGAGCGAUGUCGCGGACUACGGUAUCGCGGCGCGUUAUCACUCAUGCCUUGUCCGGUGUCGUCGUCGUGCACUUCUCCUCUAGUAGAACGUCGCGACCCGUUGGGUGCCGGUCUACGGUCCGAGCGGUAGACUGUCGCGUCGCUUCGGCGCACGCGUCAGACCCUCGGUCGCCCGGCCGGCUGCCCGGCGGUCGAACUUAUAAGGUAUCUUGCCGCAAUUAUCAAACUGCGUCGGGCCCGCCGCAAGCGCGGUCAGUGUCUCGGAGGUACGGACCCGGUGCCGUCCCCGAGCCUGACCAACUGUUGGCAGGCGGAGUCCUCGGACGGGCAAUACACAAUAAUACCGGUCUGCGACGCUACUGCUUUGGGUACUCUCAGGACCCGUCUUGAAACACGGACCAAGGAGUCUAACAUGUGCGCGAGUCAUUGGGACUGCGAAGCCUAAAGGCGUAAUGAAAGUGAAGGUCGACCUCGCGUCGACCGAGGGAGGAUGGGCCGCGUUGAGACGCGGCUCCGCACUCCCGGGGCGUCUCGUUCUCAUUGCGAGAAGAGGCGCACCCAGAGCGUACACGUUGGGACCCGAAAGAUGGUGAACUAUGCCUGGUCAGGACGAAGUCAGGGGAAACCCUGAUGGAGGUCCGUAGCGAUUCUGACGUGCAAAUCGAUCGUCGGAACUGGGUAUAGG